GAGUUUGAUCAUGGCUCAGAACGAACGCUGGCGGCGUGCCUAAUACAUGCAAGUCGAACGUGAAAAGGGGCAACCCUUAGUAAAGUGGCGCACGGGUGAGUAACACGUAGGUAACCUGCCUUUUAGUGGGGAAUAACACCGGGAAACCGGUGCUAAUGCCGCAUAAGUAAGAAAUUAGAAAGACGGCGCCGUAAGGGCUGUCGCUGAAAGAAGGGCCUGCGGCCUAUUAGCUAGUUGGUGGGGUAAUGGCCUACCAAGGCAACGAUAGGUAUCCGACCUGAGAGGGUGAUCGGACACACUGGAACUGAGACACGGUCCAGACUCCUACGGGGGCGA
rnacentral:rRNA from 1 species